rnacentral:rRNA from 1 species
CUAAGAAUAUUCCGCAAUGGACGGAAGUCUGACGGAGCGACGCCGCGUGGAUGAAGAAGGCCGAAAGGUUGUAAAGUUCUUUUGCUGGGGAAGAAUAACCGCAGGAGGGAAUGCCUGUGGGAUGACAAGAACCGGCGAAUAAGCCCCGGCCAACUACGUGCCAGCAGCCGCGGUAACACGUAGGGGGCGAGCGUUGUUCGGAAUUACUGGGCGUAAAGGGCAUGUAGGCGGCUUGGAAAGCCUGGCGUGAAAGUCUGCAGCUUAACUGCAGGGGUGCGCUGGGAACUGCUGAGCUUGAGUGACGGAGAGGGAGCUGGAAUUCCUGGUGUAGGGGUGAAAUCUGUAGAUAUCAGGAAGAACACCGAUGGCGAAGGCAAGCUCCUGGCCGAUGACUGACGCUGAGGUGCGAAAGUGUGGGGAUCAAACAGGAUUAGAUACCCUGGUAGUCCACACAGUCAACGAUGUGCACUAGGUGCUGGGGCGGUAGCUUCGGUGCCGGAGCGAACGUGGUAAGUGCACCGCCUGGGGGAGUAUGCUC